GUAACCCCAGACACCUGCACAUUCUCAUUCGGUGCUCAGUGGUCAUCAUCCCCUUCACCAUCCUCCUCUUCUUUCUCCUUCAUCUCUGGUGCUCUGACAAAAGAAUACGUCUCACAAAGCAGAGUCCAGAGACCGCAGGGCCAUGUGUGGAAGCAGGAUGGAGCAUGCAGAUGCUGCAGUCAAAGACCAAGAGCCUGGGGCGGACAGAACAGUGAACAGGGAGGUAGGUCCUCCUCGGCCCAGCCUCAGGAAUGGGGUCUUAUUCCCUAAUAGUCCCGAAGAAUGUGAGCCCCUCCCUCAGUCAACGUUUCCCUCUCUUCAGGACUCUGAUGAACAAGACUCUCAGGAGGUGACAUUUGCACAGCUGGAUCAAUGCGUUUUCACACAGAGAAAAAUCACUCGCCCUUCUCAGAGGCCCAAGAGACCCCCAACAGAAACCAGUGUAUACAUGGAACUCCCAAAUGCUGAGCCCAGAUUGCUGUCUCCUGUCCAUGAGAACCAUAGACAGGCCUUGAGGGGUCCUCUAGGGAGACAAUGGCCCUGUCUCAAACCCUGCUUGCCAGCUCCAAUGUAACAGCACCUGGGACCUGAAGGCGUGAGUCUGCAUCUUAGGGGAUUGCUCUUCCUCACAGCAUGAAUCUGAACGUGGCUGUCUCUCACUUACAAUUGUCUGCGGUCCUCACUGCCUGCUGGAGAGAAAACACACUUGUUUGCUUCACACACAAUUCUCCUUUUUACUUGACCCCUGCCCACCUCUCCAACCUACCUGGCUUACUUCCUGGUCCUACCUGAGGCUGCAGUCACACUGAGGAACUCACAAGUCCAGACUAGAAGAGGCUCCCUCUUAACACAGCACUUAGACACAUGCUGUUCCAGUUUUCCUCAUGCUGUUCCACAUUCCCUCAGACUUUGAGGGAUUUUGCAGCCUUCUGUCUCCAGUAAAAUUUUUAAGUUCUUUUUAUAUAUAAUUUUGAUGUAGUUCUCCUCAAAUAAAC
rnacentral:lncRNA from 1 species